rnacentral:misc_RNA from 1 species
AAGUCGUAACAAGGUAACCGUAGGUGAACCUGCGGAAGGAUCAUCAACAAAUCAAUUUAUGCUGGAGCAAUCCGGCAUAUAUACCAAUGUGAAUUGGGAUGCUUUAGGGCGUCUCUGUGAUUUUUGUUCUGUGGAACGAAAAUAUAAGCGAGUCUAUAUGAGUCUGAUUAAAAACAUUAAUCAAAACAACUUUUAACAAUGGAUCUCUUGGCUCUU